AUGGCAGAUCUGCCGCCGUCCCUCGCCACCAGCCCCUCCUCCCCGCCUCCGCCCCCACCCCCGUACGGGCCGUCGACCGCGACGCCGGCUGCGAGGGGGAAGGACUGGAAUAAGGUUCCCGCGGAGCAGCUCGUGAUCGACUUCUGUGACCCGGAGUUGCGUGAGGACGCCCUCCGCCAGCUCUACAAGGUCGCUUACUUCCCCCACCCCUCCCUCCCACCGCGGAGAGCCCCAUGCUUCUCUCUAGCUUUCCCCGUUGAGGAAGAUUUCGCGUUUGUAGAUCUCUAG
rnacentral:rRNA from 1 species